UACAGAGGAGCCAAGCGUUGUCCGGAUUGACUGGGCGUAAAGCGCACGCAGGCGGACGCGCGCGUGGGGUGUGAAAUCUGGCCGCUUAACGGCCAGGCGCCAUCCCAUACGGCGCGUCUGGAGCAAUGCAGAGGUCGGUGGAAUUGCCGGUGUAGUGGUGAAAUGCGUAGAUAUCAGGAGGAACACCAGCGGUGUAGACGGCUUUCUGGACCAUUGCUGACGCUGAGACACGAAAGCGUGGGUAGCAAACAGG
rnacentral:rRNA from 1 species